GGAGCAUGGACUCAACUAGGUGAGCUUAGCUGAACUCAGAGACAUCAAAGUCUCCAGCUGCCUUUUCCACUCUGAAACUCCUUUCCUAACCAGAUUUUGGUCAAAUUACAGAUAUUGGCUUGCUUCUGGAACCGGGAUCAGCUUUGAUCAGCUUUGAUUGUCACUACGGCACACACCCACUCUGCAAGGAAUGAGAGCCUCCUAUCACUUCGCAGCCUGAAGCAGCAGUUUGUACAUGAGACCAUGGACUGGACUCUGCAUCGAGUGUACUUUGGACUGAUAUAAGGGACUUUGGGAAUGGUUGAUGACUGACUGUUAAACCUUGCCUGGAUCAUCUAUUACUGUGUGUUUAAGACUUGGGAUGGGAUUUGUUAAAACUGUGUAAUUAUUGCUGUUAUGUUUGAGGGCUUUUAAGGAAAUGCUACUGUACUAGUCUGUUAUAUAUAGGGAUUUUGAUUCUUUCUUGGGAUUUAUAUGGGGAAUGGUCAUUUGAUAAUUCCUUUUGUGAGAAAAAAAAAGGGGGAGGUAGAGAUAGAACAUUGGGGAAACUGGUAUAUUUUUUUUAAAAUACCUGAAAGAAUGGGAACCCCUAGCUCCUGUUCACUUUGCCUUAGGCAUUUCUGCCCCACCCCCUAUCUCAUUAGUUCAGACUGAAUUUGAAUGUUUUAGCUUUAGAAUCCCUUAUUUUGUUAAAAUUGCCCUGGCAGACUCAGUUUUUGGGAUUAUUAUUUUUUUAGAAAAGUUUUAGAAAUCAGACACCUGUCCUGACACUGGCAGUCUCUCUGAUCUGUUUUUCCAGUCCUGUAACCCUAGUUAAUUAGUAUCUCAGCAUUUCAAAGGACCUUGUUUGAUAUAAGGCACCUAAAAAGUUCGUGGUUUGCCUGCCUUGAUGGUCUAACUGCAUAAUCUGCUCAGAAAUCUGUAUUCUAAUAGCAGUCCUGUUUCUCUGGGCAGGGACAGGUGGAGCUACUACAGCCUCAUCCUUCCCCCUGGAGAGAUCUGCCUCUCUGAAUGGGCCUUGGACCCUGCUGCUCUGUAGCAGAGACUGAGUUAAGUGCACAAAUGACCACAGACCUAACUGUCCAUCUCAAACUGGAUUCUCUGGCUGAGGUGGUGCUCCAGAAUUGGAGCGGGCCUGACAUGCUUGCAACAAGGGAGCCUUUGUACAGCUGUUAACUCUGGGGUUAUCAGGGAGAGACUUGCUCUUGCCAUAUGAGUCCUUACAUUUUUCUAGUUUUAUUUUUGCUCAUUUGCUUUACAUAGGGUGGGUCAAAGACCUCCUGGGUACCUAGAGGAAGGUGCUAAGAUUCAAAGGUUUGAAUAUUUAGGAGAGAGAGUGUGGAAUGUUAUGCCACAGUUCUCUUUAACUGUCCUGACUCAGUUUCCCUGUCUCAGUUUUCUUAACUGUUCUGUCUCAAUCUCUUUAGUUGUAAAUCCCCCUCUGACCCAGUAAGACUGAGGACUAUUUGUUCUAAGGUUAUAAAUUAGCAAGAUAAACAAGAGAGUAAACCUCCUGACUUUUUUCUGUCCUCAAGGAUUUACAAUAUUCCUCUAAAACAUUCCAAGAUAUCUCAUUGAUAUCUUUACUUCUUUGUAUUCAGACAUCUGUCUCUGGAUUUUCUAGGAUUUAUGGCCUCCCUAUCCUGAUAGAGGUUUUCCCUCACUUCUUACCCCUUCCUUUGUUUAGAGAAAAGGUAUUUAAGAAGUUGGGGUUCCUCCAUUCAUGGCUGGAGGCUGGUGGCUGGCAGCUGUAUGCUGGAUGCUGGAUUUUUUGGGAUGACAGUCUCCUCCAGCCCUGGGACCAACAUGGAUUCCUUGGUCCCAGUAUAUCUUUAUCUCUGUCUGACUGGGUAAUUUGAGACGAGAGUCCUGUCCAGUUAAUCUUACUCUCCCAUUAAUAAAAUGUUAAAGCUCUCUAA